rnacentral:misc_RNA from 1 species
GAUGAAGAACGCAGUGAAAUGCGAUAAGUAAUGUGAAUUGCAGAAUUCAGUGAAUCAUCGAAUCUUUGAACGCACAUUGCGCCCGCUGGUAUUCCGGCGGGCAUGCCUGUUCGAGCGUCAUUUCAACCCUCAAGCUCUCCGGAGUUUGGUGUUGGGGCGCCUGGGGCUUUUCGACCUCAGGGCCCUCAAGUCCAUCGGCGGGACCGCCAGGACACUGAGCGCAGUAGUAUUAUUUCGCUCGGUAGGAUCUUCCACGGCGGGUCGAUCUGGCCGCUAAACCCCCCAAUUCUCACCAAAGGUUGACCUCGGAUCAGGUAGGAAUACCCGCUGAACUUAAGCAUAUCAAUAAGCGGAGGA